UGAAUGGGCAGACUAUCACUGAGCAUAUGGUCCUCGACGAAGUUGACAUAGCAGAGAGGCGACAUCUAUGUGUUCAUGUUCAGACACAUGACGGACCGGUGAUGAAGCUUUAUCUAUGGGACAAGGCCGCAUCUGACUUCUGUGAGAAAUUCAAAUCUUAUGGAAGCACUCCAAGCGUUCUGUUGGUCACCACAGUAAACCCUAAACAUCCUGGAGGAGCCCUUACUCUUACUUCGAUGGCAUCAUCUUGAGUGUUUAUGGAUAACGAUGUCCAGCCUAGCAGGGAUUAUCUUGGAUGGCUGAGCUCAAACUCAGAUCUUGCUAAUAAGAUUAAUGCAGAGGUUGUUACUACGCCUGAGACAGCGACUCUAGAGGAACUUUUCGCCUACAUCAAACAUGAGACUGCUAAGGUUGCUUGGUUUGAAUGCACAGCGACUAUAGAUGGUGUUCUUCGGGGUUCUGCUUGGUAUUAUAUCUCAUGCGGUGGGUGUAAUAGUAAGGCAGUCAAAGGGUCUACCUCUCUGAUUUGUAACAACAAGAAAUGUGGGAAACGUGAUGUUACGCGUUGCUCAAUACCUCACGAGGAUUUCUGUUUACGAUAAGAGUGAACAUGCAGUUUUUGUCAUUCUUGGUGAUGCUGGCAAAGAGCUGACUGGAAAGCAUGCAUCAGAAUUAGUUGCCAGUUACUUUGAGGCUAAUGAGGGCGUAGAAGCUGAUCAUUGCGUGCCGGUACCACAAGCUCUACUUGAUACAAUAGGGCAUACUUAUAGAUUCAUUGUGAAAGUCUCAGAUCAUAAUUUGUCAUGUAAGACUCAAACCAUAACUGUCACAAAGAUAUUCCCACCAGCAGCUCCACAGACUAUAGCUCCCUUGGAAGGGCACGCUGUUCCACCAACGUCUGAUGAUAUCCUGAAGACUGGAGGUGACAGGGUUAGACAAGCAUCUGAGAGUCUUGAAUCAGCUGAAGCCAAGCGUUGCAAGAGUGGCUGAUACAGCUUCGACAAUCCUCUUACGCAAUGAUUGCUUUUGCUGCAGUUUAAGUUUCGUUUUUAUGUUUACCUAAUUACUUUGCUUUCACUCCAUUUCUAUCUUCAGACUUUUGUUCAUUGGAGGCUUUUCUGUUUCUUUGAAUACAGUUCCCGUUAUAUGA